rnacentral:rRNA from 1 species
CUACAGAGGGUGCGAGCGUUAAUCGGAAUUACUGGGCGUAAAGCGCGCGUAGGCGGCUACUUAAGUCAGAUGUGAAAUCCCCGGGCUCAACCUGGGAACUGCAUCUGAUACUGGGUAGCUAGAGUUUAGGAGAGGGAAGUAGAAUUUCAGGUGUAGCGGUGAAAUGCAUAGAGAUCUGAAGGAAUACCAGUGGCGAAGGCGGCUUCCUGGCCUAAAACUGACGCUGAGGUGCGAAAGCGUGGGUAGCAAACGGGAUUAGAAACCCUGGUAGUCC